CCGCUUACCAUGCAAGUCGAGCGCCCCGCAAGGGGAGCGGCAGACGGGUGAGUAACGCGUGGGAAUCUACCCUUUUCUACGGAAUAACGCAGGGAAACUUGUGCUAAUACCGUAUAAGCCCUUUGGGGGAAAGAUUUAUCGGGAAAGGAUGAGCCCGCGUUGGAUUAGCUAGUUGGUGGGGUAAAGGCCUACCAAGGCGACGAUCCAUAGCUGGUCUGAGAGGAUGAUCAGCCACAUUGGGACUGAGACACGGCCCAAACUCCUACGGGAGGCAGCAGUGGGGAAUAUUGGACAAUGGGCGCAAGCCUGAUCCAGCCAUGCCGCGUGAGUGAUGAAGGCCCUAGGGUUGUAAAGCUCUUUCACCGGUGAAGAUAAUGACGGUAACCGGAGAAGAAGCCCCGGCUAACUUCGUGCCAGCAGCCGCGGUAAUACGAAGGGGGCUAGCGUUGUUCGGAAUUACUGGGCGUAAAGCGCACGUAGGCGGACAUUUAAGUCAGGGGUGAAAUCCCGGGGCUCAACCCCGGAACUGCCUUUGAUACUGGGUGUCUAGAGUAUGGAAGAGGUGAGUGGAAUUCCGAGUGUAGAGGCGAAAUUCGUAGAUAUUCGGAGGAACACCGGUGGCGAAAGCGGCUCACUGGUCCAUUACUGACGCUGAGGUGCGAAAGCGUGGAGAGCAAACAGGAUUAGAUACGCUGGUACUCCACGCCUUAAACGAUGAAUGUCAGCCGUCGGGCAGUUUACUGCUCUGUGGCGCAGCUAACGCAUUAAACAUUUCCGACUGGCGAGUACGGUCUCAAGAUUAAAACCCCCAGUACUUUACUGUAGACCGCACAAAUCGUGGAGCAUGCGGGUUUAUUCCCAAGCACUUGCACACCCGACUUAGACGUUGGCAUACCGAUCGCUUAUUACCGAGACUUUUUACUUACGUUCGGCUGGAUCGUAUUACCGCGCUGCUGGCA
rnacentral:rRNA from 1 species